rnacentral:rRNA from 1 species
AUUGAACGCUGGCGGCAGGCCUAACACAUGCAAGUCGAGCGGAUGAAGGGAGCUUGCUCCUGGAUUCAGCGGCGGACGGGUGAGUAAUGCCUAGGAAUCUGCCUGGUAGUGGGGGAUAACGUCCGGAAACGGGCGCUAAUACCGCAUACGUCCUGAGGGAGAAAGUGGGGGAUCUUCGGACCUCACGCUAUCAGAUGAGCCUAGGUCGGAUUAGCUAGUUGGUGGGGUAAAGGCCUACCAAGGCGACGAUCCGUAACUGGUCUGAGAGGAUGAUCAGUCAAAAUGGAAAUGGAAACCGGGCCAAACCCCAAAGGGAGGCAGAAGGGGGGAAUAUGGGAAAAGGGGGGAAAGCCUAACCCAGCCAUGCCGGGGUGGGGAAAAAGGUUUUCGGAUUGUAAAGCACUUUAAGUGGGGAGGAAGGGCAGUAAGUUAAAACCUUGCUGUUUUGACUUUACAAACAAAAAAAACACCGGAUAAUUUCGU